CUUGAGACUUGACUUGGACUUGGAAAAAAAUGACUUGUGAACAUCUCUGACCUCAUGUUUUCGAAAUGACAACAAACCUCCUUGACUCUCGAAUCUUGAGUUUAAACAGAAAUAAUCCUUUGAACUGAAGGUGGGAGACUUGCCAGCAAAAAAGUGUCUCAUGUAAUCUGUCUUGGGGGGUUUCAUGAGUGGGAGAAAAACAAAAACAGCAAAUUGCUCUUUUGAUACUGUAAAGAUGUGGGUCAGUCCCUGAAGGUAUCAGCCCAAAUCUGCUGACCACCUGCAGCCGCCGGGAGCAGCUCACAGACGAUGAGGCAACGCGGCGCUGGAGUCUGAGGAUCGGCCAUGUAAAGGAUGACUAACACGCCAAGAGGUUACUGACCCGUUAAAAAAAUACUGCAUUGAUUUAAAUAAUCAGUCCAAAUCGCAAGAGAUGCUCUACUGAUGUACUUUCAAAGGAAGGAACUUAAUGUAAAUCAUUUGCAGGCUCUAUGCGGAUCCCUUGCUUGGACCUGUUAAAACGCCAUCUGAGAAGAUGCCUGUGAUGUGUCCAUUAGUCAUCCGUUUGGGGAGAUAUCGAUGACAUUUCUGCGGGGCACGUCCUCUCCUACGGUGACUAAUGAACGAGGACGAAUGCGAACGCGGGACGAGGACGGUGCUUGUCCACUCGGUGUCUGGGCUUCACGAAAAAAGAAACCGACCGCGAUUUCCAGCCUGUCGCUAUGGUAACCGAGUUUUAUUAUCUACUGGAAUGCCUAGUGAGGUGACCCCUGUCCCCAUCCCCCAUUCUACGUGACAGAAGGACCGCAGUGGCGCCCAGCUGUGGAGUUUGGGCACCACGGACCGAACCGAUCCCCUCUGCAGUACCUCAUCAUGGAGACCAGCAGCCGAACCUGGGGAAUGUGGAAGCUUCAAACAUCAAACACCACGGGAUGCUCCCAUCUCCAGAUGCCACAUCUAUUGUAUGCAUGCCUGAACAUCUCUGGCACUCUUGCAACCAAAAUAAAUGAACACAUUUGCCUACCUAAAUA